ensembl:lncRNA
AGGAGAUUUGCAAACUCAUCAGAUGGAGACAGUGUACAAAAGAAGCAGGCAGAUUUAGAUUUCAUUCUGCCUCUGGUCAGUUUUGAAACUCAGAAGGCUUCCCCUUGUGUGCUCUGUGGAUCCCAGCAAGCUACGUUUGACACAUACUGACACACACACAAGUUAGCACCUGAUUCUAGCUGCCAGCCAAUAAAACAUCUUCAUUUCUUAGGAGAAAAUUGUUUCAUUAUAAAAUAGCUUGUGGGAACAAAUUGUCUUCCAGCUUUUUUGCGUUUUUUACACACACAGAACAAAUGAUCAGGCCAUUCAAGCUUCUAAAGUAUUUGAGCAAAAUUACCAGGUGGCAGAAAUCAGCUCCAGAGCAGCCUGGUCACUGGAGAGCACUUUGUAUGAGGAGCUGUAUAUGCAUGGACCCUGAUGCCAGCCAACCAUGUCCCUGAGCUCAGAAGUGCAGGCAUCAACAGCAAUUUACAGGCAUCUUUCUGCUGCUCAGAGGAAGAUUCAGAAAUCACAUUGAUCUGAAACAGCAUCAUCUGGGAGCUUGUCAGAGAUCCACAGUCUCAAGCCUCCACCCCAGAACCACUGAGACAGAGUCUGAAGUUUUAAAGUCUCCAGGAGAUUUGUACACAUGUCAAGUCUAAGAAGCAAAGCGGUAGAACACAUUUUGAGAACCAGGGCCAAGGACGAUGACAGAAAUGGUUUUAACCUGGGAAACUUCAAUAAUCAAUCUUAGAGUUCAUUCACCUUGGAUCCUGAAAGACUUCGGUGUUUCUUCCAAGGAACAUCUGCUCUGGCAAGGGGAUUUUUCACUGGGAAAAUUACAUCUGAAGGCUGUCGUGGAGAGAUGCAGCUCAUCAUCGUCAAAGACAAAGCUUUGAGAGCAGGUCAGCAAAGGAGCCUGCUGGAUUGGCAGGCUCCAGGGAAGAGCUUAUUCCAGACACAGAGGCCCGAGGGAAGAUGAGAGAGAAGAAAUGGAACAAAGAAAGCAGUGAGGGACAAGCCCGGGCUCAGCCAAAGGAAGAAGCAGAGGAAAGAGGAAGGUAUGUUGGCGGAGUCCCAGCGGUUCCUCAUUCCAUUUGAGGACACGGUGAGCCAUCAUUGUCACGCAGCCUUUGGGAUGAAGU